AUACGGAGGAUGCGAGCGUUACCCGGAUUUAUUGGGUUUAAAGGGUGCGUAGGCUGUGCGUUAAGUCAGGGGUGAAAUGCCGUCGCUCAACGACGGAGCUGCCCUUGAUACUGGCGUGCUGGAGUACGGAUGCCGUUGGAGGAAUGAGUGGUGUAGCGGUGAAAUGCUUAGAUAUCACUCAGAACACCGAUUGCGAAGGCAUCUGACGAAUCCGUCACGGACGCUGAGGCACGAAAGCGUGGGAAUAGAACAGGAUUAGAUACCCGGGUAUUCCACGCCGUAAACGAUGAUGACUAACCGUCGGCGAUAGACAGCCGGUGGCCAAGCUAAAGCGAUAAGUCAUCCACCUGGGGAGUACGUCGGCAACGAUGAAACUCAAAUGAAUUGACGGGG
rnacentral:rRNA from 1 species